AAAUUACUAAUAAAAAAUCCAAAAGAGGACGUGAUAUUUUAUGUUUUAAUGAUUUAGAAUAUACCAUCCAUAGAGUAAUAAAUGCCACAUCGUAUUACAGGUGUAGACAAAGGAGUUGCUUAGGACGGGGUAUUUUACAAUCAGGUAGGUUCACAGAGAUGCAGGAUCAUACCAUAGAACAGUGUAAAUCACAUAUUGGCAAUAUGUUUACUCCAUGUCAACCCUUAGUAACACAGAACAUGCAACCUGUUAAUGCCAUAUCAAGCAAUAUAUGUGCCCCAUCUCAACUCUCUGUAGCAAACUACUAUAACUAGCAAUAUGUUUACUCCAUG